rnacentral:misc_RNA from 1 species
UUUCCGUAGGUGAACCUGCGGAAGGAUCAUUACCAAAACUUAGCUGUCUGGCCGCAAGGCUCUGACGCUUCAACCCUUUGUGAACCAAAAAACCUUUCGCUUCGGCAGCCGCGCCGGUUGGGAACAGCCUGCGCUUCAGCCCGCCGUUAGCACCAAACAUCAAAACUUGCAGUCAAAAACAUUGUCUGAUACCAAAUUUUCGAAUGAAAAUCAAAACUUUCAACAACGGAUCUCUUGGUUCCC